rnacentral:rRNA from 1 species
AACGAACGCUGGCGGCAUGCCUAACACAUGCAAGUCGAACGAGACCUUCGGGCCUAGUGGCGCACGGGUGCGUAACGCGUGGGAACCUGCCCUUAGGUUCGGAAUAACUCCCCGAAAGGGGUGCUAAUACCGGAUAAUGUCUUCGGACCAAAGAUUUAUCGCCUUUGGAUGGGCCCGCGUUGGAUUAGCCAGUUGGUAGGGUAAAAGCCUACCAUGGCGACGAUCCAUAGCUGGUCUGAGAGGAUGAUCAGCCACACUGGGACUGAGACACGGCCCAGACUCCUACGGAAGGCAGCAGUGGGGAAUAUUGGACAAUGGGCGAAAGCCUGAUCCAGCAAUGCCGCGUGAGUGAUGAAGGCCUUAGGGUUGUAAAGCUCUUUUACCCGGGAUGAUAAUGACAGUACCGGGAGAAUAAGCUCCGGCUAACUCCGUG